UACGGAGGGUGCAAGCGUUAUCCGGAAUCACUGGGUUUAAAGGGUGCGUAGGCGGCUUAAUAAGUCAGAGGUGAAAGGCUGUGGCUCAACCAUGGGAUUGCCUUUGAUACUGUUAGGCUUGAAUCAGGCUGAGGUUGGCAGAAUGUGGCAUGUAGCGGUGAAAUGCAUAGAUAUGCCAUAGAACACCGAUUGCGAAGGCAGCUGGCUGGGCCGACUUUGACGCUGAGGCACGAAAGCGUGGGGAGCGAACAGG
rnacentral:rRNA from 1 species